UACGUAACCAAUAAUAUGCUCUCUUUGCCUUUACAACUCGCAGAUUUACAAUCAGUUUUAUCACUAAUCGAUAGUAUGGAAACAAUGGAACGUUAAAAAAACAAGUGUUAGGAAUACGUAUAAAUAUCAGAACUAACAUAGGAUAGAUUUCAAUAGAUUUUGAGGUACUCAUCUCUUUAAAUCAAUUGUAAAUAUGUUGUUCACGCCAGCUUUUCUCGUAGCUGUCACAGCGUUGGCUCUAUUACUUGAUGGCGCACUAGCAGAACUUCGCAUCUCUCAUUCCAGACGUGGACUAUGGCCUGGAAAACACCAGGAUGGCAUUUAACACCAUGGGUUAAGGAACCCCGACCGGGUGACAGCGGCGCUGUACUAACGGGGGUUCUAUUAACUAUAUUUCAUUCCCUGGUUAAGAUUAUACCUUUUACAAAUCAAUUCUAUCAAUACUGUACAGAAAAUCUUAAACAAAAAAUAAAUGUUUAAACAAAA